rnacentral:rRNA from 1 species
UACGUAGGGUGCAAGCGUUAAUCGGAAUUACUGGGCGUAAAGGGUGCGUAGGCGGUUCGUUAAGUCUGUCGUGAAAUCCCCGGGCUCAACCUGGGAAUGGCGAUGGAUACUGGCGAGCUAGAGUGUGUCAGAGGAUGGUGGAAUUCCCGGUGUAGCGGUGAAAUGCGUAGAGAUCGGGAGGAACAUCAGUGGCGAAGGCGGCCAUCUGGGACAAAACUGACGCUGAAGCACGAAAGCGUGGGGAGCAAACAGG